UACAGAGGUCCCGAGCGUUGUUCGGAUUCAUUGGGCGUAAAGGGUGCGUAGGCGGCGGGGAAAGUCUGAUGUGAAAUCCUGGGGCUCAACCCUGGAACUGCAUUGGAUACUUCCUUGCUAGAGUACUGGAGAGGAAACUGGAAUUUACGGUGUAGCAGUGAAAUGCGUAGAGAUCGUAAGGAAGACCAGUGGCGAAGGCGAGUUUCUGGACAGUUACUGAUGCUGAGGCACGAAGGCCAGGGGAGCAAACGGG
rnacentral:rRNA from 1 species